UACGAAGGGGGCUAGCGUUGCUCGGAAUCACUGGGCGUAAAGGGCGCGUAGGCGGGUCGUUAAGUUAGAGGUGAAAGCCCAGGGCUCAACCCUGGAAUUGCCUUUAAUACUGUCGACCUUGAGUAUGGCAGAGGUGUGUGGAACUCCGAGUGUAGAGGUGAAAUUCGUAGAUAUUCGGAAGAACACCAGUGGCGAAGGCGACACACUGGGCCAUUACUGACGCUGAGGCGCGAAAGCGUGGGGAGCAAACAGG
rnacentral:rRNA from 1 species